GACGAACGCUGGCGGCGUGCCUAAUACAUGCAAGUAGAACGCUGAAGAGAGGAGCUUGCUCUUCUUGGAUGAGUUGCGAACGGGUGAGUAACGCGUAGGUAACCUGCCUUGUAGCGGGGGAUAACUAUUGGAAACGAUAGCUAAUACCGCAUAACAAUGGAUGACACAUGUCAUUUAUUUGAAAGGGGCAAUUGCUCCACUACAAGAUGGACCUGCGUUGUAUUAGCUAGUAGGUGAGGUAAUGGCUCACCUAGGCGACGAUACAUAGCCGACCUGAGAGGGUGAUCGGCCACACUGGGACUGAGACACGGCCCAGACUCCUACGGGAGGCAGCAGUAGGGAAUCUUCGGCAAUGGGGGCAACCCUGACCGAGCAACGCCGCGUGAGUGAAGAAGGUUUUCGGAUCGUAAAGCUCUGUUGUAAGUCAAGAACGGGUGUGAGGGUGGAAUGUUCACACUGUGACGGUAGCUUACCAGAAAGGGACGGCUAACUACGUG
rnacentral:rRNA from 1 species